rnacentral:rRNA from 1 species
UUGAUCCAUGGCUCAGAUUGAACGCUGGCGGCAGGCCUAACACAUGCAAGUCGAGCGGUAGAGAGAAGCUUGCUUCUCUUGAGAGCGGCGGACGGGUGAGUAAUGCCUAGGAAUCUGCCUGGUAGUGGGGGAUAACGCUCGGAAACGGACGCUAAUACCGCAUACGUCCUACGGGAGAAAGCAGGGGACCUUCGGGCCUUGCGCUAUCAGAUGAGCCUAGGUCGGAUUAGCUAGUUGGUGAGGUAAUGGCUCACCAAGGCGACGAUCCGUAACUGGUCUGAGAGGAUGAUCAGUCACACUGGAACUGAGACACGGUCCAGACUCCUACGGGAGGCAGCAGUGGGGAAUAUUGGACAAUGGGCGAAAGCCUGAUCCAGCCAUGCCGCGUGUGUGAAGAAGGUCUUCGGAUUGUAAAGCACUUUAAGUUGGGAGGAAGGGCAUUAACCUAAUACGUUAGUG